GGGAAGGUGGCUCAGUGGUAGAGCGCUUGUCUUGCAUGCAUGAGGCCCUGGGUUCGAUUCCUCAGCACCCCA
rnacentral:tRNA from 1 species